rnacentral:rRNA from 1 species
UACAGAGGUCCCAAGCGUUGUUCGGAUUCACUGGGCGUAAAGGGUGCGUAGGUGGUGAGGUAAGUCGGAUGUGAAAGCUCGGAGCUCAACUCCGAAAUGGCAUUGGAAACUACCUUGCUCGAGGGUUGGAGGGGGGACUGGAAUUUACGGUGUAGCGGUGAAAUGCGUAGAUAUCGUAAGGAAGACCAGUGGCGAAGGCGGGUCUCUGGACAGUUCCUGACGCUGAGGCACGAAGGUCAGGGGAGCAAACGGG